UUAUUUAGGAUGUCAAACAGAUUUCUAAAUGAAAAUCACUUUCAGAGGCAGCAGUCGGGAGAGGCUGAAUCAGGGGCUGCUAGCCAAGUACCAUUUAAAGCUAGAAAUGCUUCAUUGAUUUUUAUCGAUACCGCAUCAGCCUGUUCUCCACUCCUCCAGCCUCCAACUGCAGGAUUUCCCAAGGCACAGGUUUUGGUUGGCUGCUCAUUCUUCAGUCUAGAUUAAUGUACUCUUACACCUUCACAUCCGGUACCUGAUGACUCCAGGCUAACAAGAAAUAAGAAAAUGGACCAACUGCUGAGUCUAAUUUCCUCCUAAUGGAUGAGAAUAUGUUAUAAGCUGUGGCCCAUGUCUUCAGAAAAACAUACAGCUAGCCAAUGCAUGAAGAAUUUUACAUAGUUUCAGGGCGCCCAUGGAUCUGUCUAAAAGAUUUCUGCAUCUCAGGAUAAGAAUUCCUGUCAUAUUUAUAUGUGUGUUAGGCACUGGAGAAGCAGAUAUUAAUCAAAGAAUCAUAUAGACAAAUGUAAAUUACCACUGUAAUUUUAGGUGCAUAACAGGUUGGUUGUCCUAGGCAGAGAGGUCCCAGAAGGCUUUCCUGGCAAAGUGAUGAUUGCGGUAAAGUCAAACAGAAGGGUAGAGAGAGUCCAGAUAGAGGAAAUUGCCUGAAAAAAAGUUCUGUGGCCAGGAGGCAUAGGCAUAUUUAGGGAAUGGAAAGGCUAGUGUGGCUGAUGGACAGAGAAUGAGGGAGAGGAAAGCUUCAGAAAGAGGCCAGUUAUGAAGGGCCUCAUAGACCAGUUAGGGAACUUAGUCUUUAUUCUAGGAGCAUUGGGAACUGUUCGUGGUAGAAGGGUGAUACCUGGUUUUGGUUAUGAAUCAAAACUCUGGCUAUUAUGCGGGAAUGAAUUAGAGGGAAGCAGGAGUGGAUGGGGAGAGAUCAGUUUGGACACUAUGACUCUAGUCCAAGGGAAGAUGGUAAUCUCAAGUACAGAGCUGACUGUGGAGGGAAAGAGAAAUGGCUGGGUUCAAGGACUAGCCAGAAGUGAAAUGAUAGAACUGAGAGAUGAGUUGGAAAACAGGAGAACAGGUGAGAGAGAGGGAAAUGUUAAGAAGAGCAUCCGGGUUUUGGGUUCCAUGAUAGAUUAAAUGGUGGUUCGGGGUGCCUGGGUGGCUCAGUUGCUUGAGCGACCGACUUCGGCUCAGGUCAUGAUCUUACGGUUUGUGAGUUCGAGCCCUGUGUCGGGCUCUAUGCUGACAGCUCAGAGCCUGGAGCCUGCUUCGGAUUCUGUGUCUCCCUCUCUCUCUGCCCCUCUCCCGGUCAUGCUCUGUCUCUCUC